GGACUACACGGGUUUCUAAUCCUGUUUGCUCCCCACGCUUUCGCACCUCAGCGUCAGUACCGGGCCAGUGAGCCGCCUUCGCCACUGGUGUUCUUCCGAAUAUCUACGAAUUUCACCUCUACACUCGGAGUUCCACUCACCUCUCCCGGACUCCAAGAUCGCCAGUAUCGAAGGCAGUUCUGGAGUUGAGCUCCAGGAUUUCACCUCCGACUUAACGAUCCGCCUACGUGCGCUUUACGCCCAGUGAUUCCGAGCAACGCUAGCCCCCUUCGUAUUACCGCGGCGGCUGGCAC
rnacentral:rRNA from 1 species